UUGUCCCAUCCUGGCCCCCGAUGUGUCCGCCAAGCCUAAGCCCGGCGUCAGAGGGAGCCUCAAGAACUGAAAACACUGGAGCGAAUGAGAAGAAGACGUGGAAUCUUCUAGCUUCAGACUCUUGCUCAUCGUACAUGGAAAUAAGCGUAGGGUUUAAUUCCAAAGACUGGUUAGCUCAUAUGUAACAGACUAUUAUAUAUGACUGCUAAAACUGAUACUCUGGUAAUUUGCUUCCUGAGACAGGUUUACUAGUGUAAUAUUGAAGUGGUAAUUUCAUAUAUUUUGGUAAGUGAAGUUUGUAGCUUUAUUGGAUAUUGCCUGCGGCCUUAAUUAUGAUUUUCAUCA